AGUGAACGCUGGCGGUAGGCCUAACACAUGCAAGUCGAACGGCAGCACAGUAAGAGCUUGCUCUUACGGGUGGCGAGUGGCGGACGGGUGAGGAAUACAUCGGAAUCUACUUUUUCGUGGGGGAUAACGUAGGGAAACUUACGCUAAUACCGCAUACGACCUACGGGUGAAAGCAGGGGAUCUUCGGACCUUGCGCGAUUGAAUGAGCCGAUGUCGGAUUAACUAGUUGGCGGGGUAAAGGCCCACCAAGGCGACGAUCCGUAGCUGGCCUGAGAGGAUGAUCAGCCACACUGGAACUGAGACACGGUCCAGACUCCUACGGGAGGCAGCAGUGGGGAAUAUUGGACAAUGGGCGCAAGCCUGAUCCAGCCAUGCCGCGUGGGUGAAGAAGGCCUUCGGGUUGUAAAGCCCUUUUGUUGGGAAAGAAAAGCAGCAGGUUAAUACCCCGCUGUUCUGACGGUACCCAAAGAAUAAGCACCGGCUAACUUCGUG
rnacentral:rRNA from 1 species